rnacentral:rRNA from 1 species
GACGAACGCUGGCGGCGCGCUUAACACAUGCAAGUCGAACGGAAAGGCCUGCUUUCCCUUGUGGAUUGCGGGUACUCGAGUGGCGAACGGGUGAGUAACACGUGAGUGAUCUGCCCCCAACUUGGGUAUAAGCCUGGGAAACUGGGUCUAAUUCCCGAUAGGACUGCAGGGUGGUGCCUGUGGUUGAAAACGAUUUUCUAGUGGUUGGGGAUGAGCUCGCGGCCUAUCAGCUUGUUGGUGGGGUAAUGGCCUACCAAGGCGGCGACGGGUAGCCGGCCGGAGAGGGUGGACGGCCACAUUGGGACUGAGAGACGGCCCAGACACCGACGGGAGGCAGCAGUGGGGAAUAUUGCACAAUGGGCGGAAGCCUGAUGCAGCGACGCCGCGUGGGGGAUGACGGCCUUCGGGUUGUAAACUCCUUUCGACCGAGAGGAAGCCACCUGGUUGGAAGGGUGGUGACGGUAGUGGUAGAAGAAGCACCGGCUAACUACGUG